ACCCUCCCCGGAAGUGACCUCUCGCCCUCAUUGGGUGUCCUCGGGAAAAGGGGCGGGGCAUUCCGCGCUGCUCCCACAGGUCUGCGGCGUCCGAGUCUGGGACUGGCAGGUGCGGUGCUGGGGACGUCCUGAGGUUGAGGGAGAAUCCUGCGGAGAUGAAGAGCUUCCCGGCCUGACAGUUUUGCCCCCACCUCCUUCUUGAGCUUAAGGAUUUAUACGCAGGGCCCCGUUUGCCUGCUGUGUCCCCAGUGUCCAGGACAGCGCCCGGUACCAAAGGUGCUGGUAAACAUUUGUCGAAUGAGUCGCUGAACGCCCAGCUAUUUCCACUGUCACAGCGAUCAUGUGUGGCGGACAUUAUGUGGCAUGUAUCUUACAGAGGAGGCAGCCCGGGCUCAGGGAGACGAGGCAGAGGUGCACGCAGGUCUAUGUGGGCUGGAAAGUGCUGGGGCCUCCCGGGCGCUCCUGGUCUCCAGGCAAGAACUGGAAGCAGAGCCACUCAACACCUAGAAGGGCAGUGACAGAAAGCUCUGGCUGGGAGGAGGCUGACCAGAGGCCAGUCUGAGCUCAGCCUUUUUUUUCAGAGGGACGUGGGCACCCUAGAAGGGUGCAGCCGAGCCAACCUCAGUGAAGGAGUGUCUGUUGCUACAGGUCAUCCUGCGUGCCCUCUUGCAGACAUGACCACCUGGCGCCUCAAGACUUCAGGCCUGGGCCUGCAGCCCCUUUCCAUGCUGACAAGAAGCUGCGGGGCCCGUGCAGGGUUGUGCCUCAGCCAAGAGGGGUGCCUCACACAUGCCCCUGCAUGGGAGGAGGUGGGCUCACUCUCCAGCAGACAGACAAACAGAAAUGGCCCCAGGGAACAGGUGAAGGUUCUGAGGCAAGUAUUUAUUCCAAGCAAACACGUGGGCGUGGACAGCUAUCUCAGAGCCUACGUCACUCAGCAGAGUCACACAUUUCAAAGCAGGUCACACAAGUCCCUCAUGAACAGUCUUCCAGCUUCAGCCCUUCUCUUGCCACCUCUGUGGUCUGAGCUGGGGGAGGGGGAGGGCCUCCGAGUUCCCAAACAAAACACAGGUACCUAAGGGCUGAGAGAAAAUUACACAGCCUUAUUUUUAUUAGUAUCUAUCAAGAAAAAAAAAAAUCAAAA